rnacentral:lncRNA from 1 species
UUCACUCAGCAGAUAUUUUUAUUUGCCAGACACUGUUCUCGGUGUAUCCUCAACCAAGCAGGCUUCUGUUCUUUUCUGUCAUUUAGCUAAGAUUUACAUAUUGAUAGACGCUAAUUCUCAUUUCUGGUGGAGGUUAAACAUUUAGAGAAUAGCCCUGGGAUAGCUUUGUUUGGGGGGAACUACAAACAGCAAAAUGUUUUGAGUUAAUACCCUGCGGGGCAGUUCAUAAACCACGUGGGAUGCUUGGAAAAUAUUCAAUAAUGGCAUUUCUUCAGGUACGUUCUGUGGGUAUUCGGUCAAAUACAAAUAAAUGGUUUCUUUACUUUAGAACUUGGAGCCCUUAAUACACUCUUGCAUUGUCCAUCUCCUGCAGUAUUUCCACGCUUAUUUGACCAUAAACCCUUUUUUCUAAGUGCUUCUAGCCCACAGCAUGUUCAGGAAAACUUAGCUUACUGUCUAGAUACAGAGUGCUGUGUCUUCCUCCUGUAAGUUUUUUUUUUUUUUUUUUUCUUCCCUGCUCAGAAAGCAAACAGUUGUGUCUUUCAGGAUUCUUUUUAUUGAAGACCACUUCUGUGUUUCUAAUGGUAAAUUUAUUAGGCUUUACUUUAGGGUCAGAGAUUAAAUAUCUGAUGACGUCAAUGUGUGCAAACAACUCUAAGCGUUAGGCUUUCCUUGCCGCAAUCUGCCCUUCUGCUUGUCCUGAAGUUGCUGGGUAAAGCUACUGUGUUCCUACUUAAGAAAUAGGUACUUACCCUGGCCUGGAAUUAACUCAUCCAUUGGUUUCUGAGGGUGGGUAUUUUCUACCAUUGUGUUUUCAGAGGUUCAGACAGUUGUCCCUGUGCUUUAAGCCCAAAUAAUAAUUAUAAGCUGGGUGCAAGCUGAAGACUUUUAUUUUAAAUUACCCUUCGGAAAAAACCACAAGCCCUCCCUCAGAGGGCUUGAUGGGAAGUGAAGUAGUCCAGUCCCCCCUGGACCCCAUUUCUUGUCCACACAGAGGCUCACUGUUCAAGUUCUAAACAUAUGCUGUCUUUCCCCGUGUGUGUGGGCACAGGAGGAAGCAGGUUUUGGAGUUCCCAUCAUGGCUCAGCAGGUUAAGAAGCCAGCUAGUAUCCAUGAGGAUGCAGGUUCAAUUCCUGGCCUCACUCAGGCGGUUAAGGAUCCGGCAUUGCCGUGAGUUGUGGUGUAGGUCACAGGCAUGGCUAGGAUCCCGAGUUGCUAUGGCUGUGGCAUAGGCUGGCAGCUGUAGUUCCAUUCACAAUUCAACCCCUAGCAUGCAAACUUCCAUGUGCUUCAGGUGGUGUGGGCCCCCCCGCCCCCAAAAAAGGUAAAUGAAAUAGUUUGCAUCUACUAACCCCAAACUCCCUAUCUAUCCCACUCCCUCCCUCUUCCUCCCUGGCAACCACAAAUCUGUUCUCUUCUAUGCCUGUGAAUCUGUUUCUGUUUUGCAGAUAGGUUCACUUGUGCCAUAUUUUAGAUUCCACAUGUAAGUGAUGUCAUACGGUAUUUGUCUUUCUCUUUCUGACUUACUUCACUUAGUAUGAAAAUCUCUAGUUCCAUCCAUAUUGCUGCAAAUGGCAUUAUUUGUUCUUUUUAAUGGCUGAGAAGCAAACCGUUGUGUAUAUGUACCACAUCUUCUUAAUCCAUUCAUCUGUUGAUGGACAUUUAAGUUGCUUCCAUGUCUUGGCUAUUGCAAAUAGUGCUGCAGAGAACACAGAAGUGCAUAUAUCUUUUGAAUUAUAGUUUGGUCCAGAUAUAUGCCCAAGAGUGGGAUUGCUUGACACAGGGUAGUUCUAUAUUUAGUUUUCUGAGGAACCUCCAUACAGUUUUCCACAGCGGUUGUACCAACUUACAUUCCCAUCAACAGUGUAGGAGGGUUCCAUUUUCGAAGGUGACCUCUGUCUUAAGUGGACACUUGCCAGGUGCUAUGCUGAGUGUUUCAUUUACAGCUUCUCAUUUAAUUCUCAGAACAACCAAAGGAGGUAUCUUGCCAUUUAAUGGAUGGGAAACUGAGGCUGAAGAACCUUGAAUAUUGUACCUGGGGCACGAAAAUCAGAGCUGGAGGAGCCCAGGUACAGGUGCCUUUCAGUUUCACCAGGUCCUGUGCUGCCUCGAUGGGGAUGGAGGAUGGGGGUUCCGGUUAAGAUAAUGCUUCCAGAACUUUUCGUAGUAAACCUUGUUUACUGUGGAAAGAGUAAAAUCAUGUAUGAUUUGACUGGAAAAUGGGAGCUGCAGGGAAAGUCAGUGUUUACUCUGUGAUGUCACAGGCAGCUGCAAUGGCGAUGCUGAGGGUGUCUUGGGAUAUGGUUUAUAACCCGGAGUGGCCAGUAAACAGCCUCAGGGCCCAGAAGAAGGAGGAAAAGCAAACUCCUUUUUGUCAUCAAAGUGCCUUUUAGAUUUUAGAUGAACUCAUUCAGAAACCUGAGGUCUAAAUGCUGGUCGCUUUCAGCAUUCCUGAAACAUCCGUGUGAAAUUAUUCUUUUUACUCUCCCUGGUUUUGUUACUACUUUCAGAACAUGUUGAAAGUAAAAUAAUUCCCAUGUGUGCAUAUGUGUUUUUAGUUUAGCAAAUAUUGGUUUUUUUCAGAUCCUUCCUGCCCAGCCUCCUCUAAUCCCUUCUUCAAGAUAUUCCCAGUAGAGACAAACUUUCCUGGGUUUUGCAUCAACAAAUCCCCUGAGGAGGAAGUUAGCACUGGUGUUUGUUAAUUGAUAAAGCUGAUUCUGGCAGUUGGACAGAGUGAUUGU